rnacentral:rRNA from 1 species
AUUGAACGCUGGCGGCAGGCCUAACACAUGCAAGUCGAACGAGUGGCGGACGGGUGAGUAAUUUCUUGGAAACUGCCUGAUGGAGGGGGAUAACUACUGGAAACGUUAGCUAAUACCGCAUACCAUCGGAUGUGCCCAGAUGGGAUUAGUUAGUAGGGGGGGUAAAGGCUCACCAAGGCGACGAUCCCUAGCUGGUCUGAGAGGAUGACCAGCCAAACGGGAACUGAGACACGGUCCAGAAUCCUACGGGAGGCAGCAGUGGGGAAUAUUGCACAAUGGGCGAAAGCCUGAUGCAGCCAUGCCGCGUGAAUGAAGAAGGCCUUCGGGUGGUAAAGUACUGUCAGCGGGGAGGCGUUACCCGCAGAAGAAGCACCGGCUAACUACGUGCCAGCAGCCGCGGUAAUAC